UCUGAAUCUGCGAACGGCUCCGCAAACCAGUUGUAAACUACAGCAAGCAAGCACGGGAGACCGGCCUUCACGGGUUGGUCUCUCGGGCGAUACGGAUAACCCUGGUAAUUCUGAGGCUAAUACGAGAACGUAACUCUUGGUUGACCGAGCCCUCGCCUUCGGGUGGGGAUACUUGGGAUGCUGGGAAGCGUGCAAGUACUAAUGCGAAUGAAAAACUGGGAAUAGGCGCACGCUUGGACCGCGCUACAAAGGAUCGGGACUCGGUAAUCCCUUCGGGGUGCGCCUUGGCCUGGCCCCAGCGGCUCUUGCGGUGUGCUUCUGACCUAUCAACUAGACGGCAGCGUAACGGACAUGCUAUGGU
rnacentral:rRNA from 1 species